rnacentral:lncRNA from 1 species
GCCCACACGCGAGCGGCCUCGCCCGCUCGGCGGAGGUGCUCGCCCCAGCGAAGCAGCCUCGCCCAAGCCCGUCUUCCAUGAAAGUGCUACUUUUUUAUCAUUUUUAUACCUCAUCUAGCUAAGCAUUUGCAAAUUGUGAUUCAAGAUAUUCUUGUAGCCAAUGGAAUUCCUUAUUUGACUAUGAUUGAGGAUGGCCUUAUGCAUGACGAAGGCCUUGUUUAGUUUUCUGGGCAAAAAAAAAAAAUCAAUACAUGCAUGGUCCCAUCUCAUUUUUCGUGCUUUUAUAUCCGUCCACGUUUUGGCUUUGUUUAGUUUUAAAAAAAUUUUAAGAUUUUUCGUCACAUCGAAUCUUUUGAUGCAUGCAUAGAGCAUUAAAUAUAAAUAAAAAAACUAAUCUGCAUAAUGUGUUUAUAAUUUGCGAGACGAAUCUUUUAAGUCUAGUUAGUCCGUAAUUAAACAAUAAAUAUUAAAUACAAAUGAAAGUACUACAGUAGCCAAAUAAAAAAAAUUAGCAACCAUUGUUAGGGAAAAGCUCCGUACGAAAACAUUCCAAUGUCACUGUUGGUUUCUACUACCGUACCUACCCCUUGAUCCAUCUUCCAUUUGGGUUUGGAUAAAAUUCCACGGAAUCCAAAGGGUGCACAAGGUAAAGAGGAUCGUCCAGAUGACGACGACGGAAAGUGACGGAGAGCCAUUCCCGUAAUCCCAUUCAGCUCAACAGCUCGG